AAAAAACCAUUUCUCUUUUUUUUUUCUAAACCAACGAACCUAAAUCGUUUUAUUUUCUUCUUUUCUCUUCCUCAUCUCCUUCGCACUUCUUCUUCCUCUCUAGGGUUAAGAGUAGGGAGAAGCCAAGGUUUUGGCUAAGCAGCCAUGAGUGAGACGAGAUAUACAUUGCAACGACGUAAUGAACAGGGAGAGAAUGAAUUGAAGCUGUGAUGAAGUCUUCUUGUCGACAACAAACACUCGUUUGAAGAUCUGGUGAAAGGAGUGUGAAGAAGAGUAAAGGCACGGCGGAGGCGUCUUUUUCUCUUAAUCUCACCGAUUAUGCGAUUUUGGCAAGAUUGAGUACAAGCCAGAAAUUUCGAAUUGGAUCAACCUAAUUGGAUUCGUCGAGCAACCUUUUCAGUUCGGUCCUUGCUCCGAUGGAAAUUUCUGGGCUGGAACUGUGAUUUCUCAGCGUUUGGGUUCAAAGUCAUAUAGUUUCUGGCUACUUCGAGACUUGGUUAAGCCACUGUGUUUGCUCUUUCAAGAAAAGGUUUAUGUGUUGUCUCCUCUGUUGACCCUUAUGAUGGUGGUGGUGGUGGUGUCAAUCUGCAACUUGAAAAUAAAGAUACAUGCCAUGCUCGAAAAUGAGUUCUAUGCUGGUGCUUACAAGACUCCGAUUGAUUUUGAAGGAAGGAUAUCAGAUUUGUUGUGAAGAACAGAGUUGCAGAUCCCAUCUAUCAAUUAUUAGACUUUAUGUCUUCAUAAGCUGGUCUCAUCUAUUGUUUAUCUCGUUGGUAUCCUUUGCCUCAAGGUACUUCAUUUGUUUUUAGCCAGUUUUUAUAUUUUUGCUAACAAUGCGUCUGAGUUAACUAGUGUAUGGAAAUCCCAUCAAGGUUAUUGAUUUUAUGUUAGCAGCUAUGGCUAAUUUACUACACUUGACAGGGUAAAACAGUUGAAUUUGGAAGGUGUCACUUUUAAACUCAGAGUUACGAACACAAGAGUUACGAACUUAAUAUCACACAACAUUCACGUUCCCUUUUUAUUACUUAUAGGACACAAGAGUUACGAACUUAAUAUGAUUAGUGGAGCAUCUCAAACAGAUAGUGGUGUGCAGCAAGCAAGCAGACCAUGGAGAUGCACAAUCAACAAUGGAGUUUGUUGGCAUGAAGAGAGAUGGACAGAGCAACAAGAGCAGAGAUUGUGUGAGCAUAAGUGAUGGAGCUCAUUGAGAGAUACUCAGCGGGGAAUAUGUCAGUGUAAGAUUUAUUAACUUGGCUAAGGCAAUUGAAGACAACAAGAAGAGUCUCUAGGUUCAUGUUUUUGUUGGUUGUAGCACUUCUAAUAUUAGGUUAAGACUUUUAAUGUAUCGUAGUUAAGGUUAAGAUGAGAUGUACUGUAUUUUGAGGUUUUUAUAAAGUUUUUAUUGUAUA